UACGUAGGGUGCGAGCGUUAAUCGGAAUUACUGGGCGUAAAGCGUGCGCAGGCGGUUCGUCAAGUCUGAUGUGAAAGCCCCGGGCUCAACCUGGGAACUGCAUUGGAUACUAGCGAGCUUGAGUGUGGCAGAGGGGGGUGGAAUUCCACGUGUAGCAGUGAAAUGCGUAGAGAUGUGGAGGAACACCGAUGGCGAAGGCAGCCCCCUGGGCUAACACUGACGCUCAGCGCACGAAAGCGUGGGGAGCAAACAGG
rnacentral:rRNA from 1 species